rnacentral:rRNA from 1 species
GAUGAGCGCUGGCGGCGUGCCUAAUACAUGCAAGUCGAGCCGUAAGGCCCCUUCGGGGGUACACGAGCGGCGGACGGCUGAGUAACACGUAGGAACGUACCCCAAAGUGAGGGAUAACUGCUCGAAAGAGUAGCUAAUACCGCAUGUGAUCUACGGGUUAAAGCUUUAUGCGCUUUGGGAACGGCCUGCGUCCGAUUAGCUUGUUGGUGAGGUAAUAGCUCACCAAGGCGAUGAUCGGUAGCUGGUCUGAGAGGAUGAUCAGCCAGACUGGGACUGAGACACGGCCCAGACUCCUACGGGAGGCAGCAGUAGGGAAUUUUCCACAAUGGGCGAAAGCCUGAUGGAGCAACGCCGCGUGCAGGAUGAAUGCCUUAGGGUUGUAAACUGCUUUUAAUAGUGACGAUUAUGACGGUAACUAUUGAAUAAGGACCUGCUAACUACGUGCCAGCCGCCGCGGUAA